GAUGAACGCUGGCGGCGUGCCUAAUACAUGCAAGUCGAGCGAACGGACGAGAAGCUUGCUUCUCUGAUGUUAGCGGCGGACGGGUGAGUAACACGUGGAUAACCUACCUAUAAGACUGGGAUAACUUCGGGAAACCGUAGCUAAUACCGGAUAAUAUUUUGAACCGCAUGGUUCAAAAGUGAAAGACGGUCUUGCUGUCACUUAUAGAUGGAUCCGCGCUGCAUUAGCUAGUUGGUAAGGUAACGGCUUACCAAGGCAACGAUGCAUAGCCGACCUGAGAGGGUGAUCGGCCACACUGGAGCUGAGACACGGUCCAGACUCCUACGGGAGGCAGCAGUAGGGAAUCUGCCGCAAUGGGCGAAAGCCUGACGGAGCAACGCCGCGUGAGUGAUGAAGGUCUUCGGAUCGUAAAACUCUGUUAUUAGGGAAGAACAUAUGUGUAAGUAACUGUGCACAUCGUGACGGUACCUAAUCAGAAAGCAACGGCUAACUACGUG
rnacentral:rRNA from 1 species